rnacentral:rRNA from 1 species
AUUGAACGCUGGCGGCAGGCUUAACACAUGCAAGUCGAGCGGAGAGAGGUAGCUUGCUACUGAUCUUAGCGGCGGACGGGUGAGUAAUGCUUAGGAAUCUGCCUAUUAGUGGGGGACAACAUUUCGAAAGGAAUGCUAAUACCGCAUACGUCCUACGGGAGAAAGCAGGGGAUCUUCGGACCUUGCGCUAAUAGAUGAGCCUAAGUCGGAUUAGCUAGUUGGUGGGGUAAAGGCCUACCAAGGCGACGAUCUGUAGCGGGUCUGAGAGGAUGAUCCGGCACACUGGGACUGAGACACGGCCCAGACUCCUACGGGAGGCAGCAGUGGGGAAUAUUGGACAACGGGCGCAAGCCUGAUCCAGCCAUGCCGCGUGUGUGAAGAAGGCCUUAUGGUUGUAAUGCACUUUAAGCGAGGAGGAGGCUACUUUAGAUAAUACCUAGAGAUAGUGGACGUUACUCGCAGAAUAAGCACCGGCUAACUCUGUGCAGCCGCCGCCGUAA